rnacentral:rRNA from 1 species
AGUGAACGCUGGCGGUAGGCCUAACACAUGCAAGUCGAACGGCAGCACAGUAAGAGCUUGCUCUUACGGGUGGCGAGUGGCGGACGGGUGGGGAAUCCAUCGGAAUCUACUUUUUCGUGGGGGAUAACGUAGGGAAACUUACGCUAAUACCGCAUACGACCUACGGGUGAAAGCAGGGGAUCUUCGGACCUUGCGCGAUUGAAUGAGCCGAUGUCGGAUUAGCUAGUUGGCGGGGUAAAGGCCCACCAAGGCGACGAUCCGUAGCUGGUCUGAGAGGAUGAUCAGCCACACUGGAACUGAGACACGGUCCAGACUCCUACGGGAGGCAGCAGUGGGGAAUAUUGGACAAUGGGCGCAAGCCUGAUCCAGCCAUACCGCGUGGGUGAAGAAGGCCUUCGGGUUGUAAAGCCCUUUUGUUGGGAAAGAAAAGCAGCAGGUUAAUACCCCGCUGUUCUGACGGUACCCAAAGAAUAAGCACCGGCUAACUUCGUG